ensembl:lncRNA
GUCAGGGAAGGAAAGGAGAACAUGGGAUGGCAUCCUGUUGUAGGUAGUAAGUUUGCUGGAAGGAUUCCUUAGAGUGGUAAAAUUUAGCAAGACUGGUCAACAAUUAACGAGCAAUAACAAUGAAGUGUGGUUGGCGCUUUGCCAGGGCAAUUCCAGGGAACAACAGCAGCAACCGCCAACCUAGCCUAAGAUCCUGGGGGAGCCGACACUUAAACUGGAACCUGGAAGGUGAUAGUACUAGCAAGUGGCAAAGCUGGGGUGUGACAUGUGUAACGCCUACGUGCUCCUGCCUCUCUAUGAAGGAAAGAGUGGGACAGAGGCAGGAGGAGAUUGUGGCACAGGUGGUGACGUACAUGGUCUUCCAUGUAACUCAGGGGCACGGGAGUCUAGGCUUGAAACAUUGCUGCAAUGCCAUGAUGGCCUCUUGGCGUGGGCUGAGUGGGAAGCAAAGACAACCAGAAGACCUCAGUGGAAAAGAAGGCCAGGGACUGCGAGCUGACACGCUGGACGGCAGCAGCUGUGUGGAAGAUGAGGGAGUGUGAGAAGUGGCAAGUCAGAGAGGGCAUUCUCAGAGUUUGGGGUCAGGGCAGGUGAGGUUAUUCGAGGGUGGCUGAAAGUGCUGGAAAUCACAGAGUUCAGGAUCUCAAGGGAAAGAGAGGAUGGGAAAAGAGCACAGAUUUUGGAGUCAGAUGGAUCCUAGCUCUGCUGUUAGCGGGCUGAGUGACCUUGGUCAAGUUGAGUGCCCACGUUGAUUACUUUGGAGGCGGUGGUCGGAAUUUGCAGAAGUGAAAGACCCGAGGGUGUGUCAGCUCACAGGGUGAGUGCCAAGGCCGGAGCCGGGAGGUCAGCCCCCGAGCCAGCCAGUGCUCAGUUGGCCCGGAAUUCCUGAGUGUCUGCAGUCAGCAGGGCAGCCUCUGCAGGCUCCUGGAAGGCAUCUUCCUUUAUCAGAGGUGCUGGCGGGUCAGUAUCAAAGCUUUCUUGCUGGCCUGGAGAAUCUGCAUUCUGGCACCCCUCAGCCUGUCUUUGGCUAGACCCAGAGGACCAGGAAAACUACCUUUCGUUUGGCAUUGGAAGAGUUGGGUUGAAUUCUGAUCCAGGCACUUGUGUGCUCUGUGACCUUAGGAAAUGUAUUCAAAGUUCCUGAGCUUCCGUAUCCUAAUCUGCGGCCAUUUGUACUUUCCUGGUAGGUUUAGUGGUGAGGAUUAAAUAGGGUUGUAAAAAGUCUAUGGUGCAGGGAGUGCCUGGCACAGGGUACUAUCUUGGAGGGAUGGGGAGAGCGGGAGGUGUGGGGCAGCGAGGCUCGCCUUCGGAGGCAGACAGGGUCUGGUUCUGUCUCUCCCAUUUUCUACUGCUUGAGUGCCAGCUAUGCUUAACCUGGAGGCUGUUGCUUCAGCUCUAAGAUGGAGAUGCUGCUUGCUUCAUAGUUUCUGUAAGGAUUAAAAGUUGUCGUUACCGCCUUAAGGGAACUCCUAGGCCAUUGCGGGUACCUGGACCCAUGCCCAACUCUGGGAGACCAAGUCAGAGCUGGGGAUGCUCAAUCAGACUCCAUGCUGGAGGGCUUGGGGGAGAAGCCUGGGAAGGAAAGUCUGGGAGGGCUUCCUGAAGGAGGUGUUUGAAGUGGAGCCAGGCUGGAGGGACAGAGAGAGCAGGAGGGCCCCUGGUCUGGUGAACUGCAUAGCAGAGAGAGAGUUUACGUAGGAGCUGGCUGCCAAGUGGAACAGGGUCAGACCAUGAAUGAGGUGGGGCGGCUGGGGGUGGAGGGUUAGUGUGGCUGGAUGUGGGAGCCAUGGGGUCCAGGGGUCUGGGAGGAGGCCCAAGGAGUUUGACUUCUGUAGGUGGACACUUCUGAGCCAGAAGCACUGGUCUGGGAGGGGAAUGGCCCUCUCCCUGGGUGGAGCUUUCUCUCCUCUGCCUCCCAUGUUCUGAGGCUGCUUCUGCUAUUUGAGCUUCUCUUAGUUUCCCCGAGAUGAUUACCCGGGAGACCUGGGGAGACAAGGAAGGAGGCAGCGAGGCCUUGGGGAAUAGACGCGCUCAGCCUGGAAUUCUGUUGGGAGCACAGAAAACACACACUGAACUGUGUUGCCAUGGAAGCUUACCUAACGCUUCCCUGGGGCUAAACUGGCCUUGGCUGGCCCAGGCCCAGCCCAUUUUCACCUUCCAGGUCAGUAGACUUCCCGUAAGACCCACGAAUGGGUCACUGUGUCCCCCUUUGGGGUUAUCUCAGCCCCUAGAGAGGAGGGAAUCCGGGAGGUGGUUUGGUUAUCGGGUGGUGGGGAGCAGGGCUGUCCUUGAUCUAAGCUGCACUCCCUUCUCCCUCCUAUUUUCUCUCUCAUAGACACACACAUACACACACGUACACACACACGAUGGCGCAGGCUGAGUCAAUCAUUUGUGAAUUCAUUCAUCGUGCGUUGGUAGAAUGCCUGCCAGAUUGCUAAACAAAAUUAGAAAAAUGCUUUUGGAUCUUCUCUUCUGGGGCAUCCACAUGACCGCUCCCCUUGAUGGGGAUAACUGCACACUGACUCUGUGAAAGAGCAUCGCUGGAGGAAGAGCUCGCGCAGGCUUUGGACUGACCCCAGACUGAGGUCAAGUCUUGAAGGACUUUUAGUUCCUUAUCUGUAAAAAGGGGGUAAUAUUACCUUCCUCAUGGGCUAUUUUAGGGUUAUGAAUAAUACACGUAAGAGAUCUGACACUUUGAUGCUUAGUGGGAACCAACAAAUGAGAGCUGCCAUCAUCAUCACCAUCUUUUCCGCCACCACCACCGCCACCGCCAUCAUGGUCACAGCAGGCCUGGGUUGAGAGUUGGGGAAGGGGAGGGGGGUCAACAGGCAGGGCUCGGUUUGCAUGGCUAGCUCCCCAGGAAUUGGAUAUGCAAGCUUCUGUUUUGCAUGGUGGCAGAUUUUUGCAUUUUUCCCUUUAUCACUGUUCCACCUCCCUCUAGUUACCCUCAACCCCCCUGAGCCAGCUCUCUCUCCAGCCUAAGCACCAAUCAUGGGCUGGGCAGGCCCUGCAGAGGACACAAAGUUGCAUGAGACACUGCUCCCUCAUGCAAGGGGAACACCAGGGCUUAAAUUCUCCCACGACAAAUGUGUCAAAGCCGUGCGAACAAGACCACGAGUUCCACGGGGGCUGGUCUUGACGUCGAUGAAAGGGUGGGGCAAGCUGCACAGAGGAAGGCUUUAGGAAAGGCAGAGGACAAGCAGGGAGGGGUGGUGACAGUCAAGCUAACAUUGAUGGAAGGCCUCCGACUGCCGGGCACUGUUCCCUGAUCUAGUGUUCAUAUCGGGCCUCUUGGGUAGUUAUUAUCUGCAUUUUUGGCAGAGGGAAAGGAACCUCAGAGAAAUUAAGUAAUUUGCCCAACUUCACAAUGUUAGGAAGUCGCUCCAGAAUUCUUUUGCUUGCCUUCACUAUCCUUCAGCUUUUGGUCACACGUGGCUGCGGAGCAGAACGUGCGUAAAUACGCUCAGUCCCACCAGCAGACGGGGUUCCCAUUCCAGUUCUUCCCUUCACAGCUGUGUGCACUUGGGCACUUUCCCAUUCCUGCCUGGCAGGGUCUUUAUGAGUUUAAAUGAGGUGAAGUGUGCAUUGCACACAGUAGGGCCACAGGACGUGUUUCUGAGGCUCUGACAAUCCAUCUGAUGCUCGAGUCCCCUUGACCUUUGCCUUGAACCCUUCCUCACUCACCGGAAGCCGAGACUUCCUAGAUGAUGCUACAGAUUUCACUUGCCCGGAGCUCGAAGUUUUGGGAAGCCCUUGCUUACGGGUGAGCAGAAGUCUCUGGGGGCUCCUUCCUGCGGGUUCCAGUUGCAUCCCUUGGACCACACAGAUGAAUGUCCCUUCUUCCUCCUGGCAGGCGGUGUCUCUUCUCCAGGCCUUGCACUCCCAGCUCCUGCAGCUAUGUCUCUGUGGAACAUGGUUCCCAUUCCCCUCCUUAACCUAGACACCUCCUUGCAUCACCUCUUACUUGUUCAGUUCCCUCCUAAGAGUCAAACAAGAGCCAAACACUGUUCUCCAGGCAUGGUGUGAUCUGCGGGGAGAAAAUGGGCUCUUCCACACUGUCAUCUGCUGCUGAGGACCACGGAGGGCUUCAUGGCGGCCUCCUCAAGCUGUUGCUGGAGCGAAGGCGUGCACACUUGCACACAAGUGUGAUGAACAAUGGUAAGAAGGCAAGCGUCAACUGUGUGUCCAGGGGAGGGGCUGCUCAUUCCCUCUGCAGCAUCUACUCUGGGCAGGCACCCUGCCAGGUGCAGACUGGCACAGAGAUGGGAACCAGACAGACGCCAGAGGACCCUGCCCUGUCCGCCAGGAGCUGUGGUCUCACACUCGUGGGAUGAACGUGAUGGCAAGGUAGGUCCAGCGGCUCAUAGUAAGUAUGUGCGCCAGUCCGGCUGGAGCAGAUGCUAGGGCUCAGCGGGAGCUCCUGGAAGCACACCUUUGUCACCUUCUUACUUCCCUUCAUCUUGGACUCAGCCAUGCAAUCAACAACUACAUCCUGUUGGUUAUUUCUUCUCACCGUAUGUGGCCUCCACCCUGACUUCCCACCCCACUGCUCCUGCCACACCGCAGGCCUCGUCCCUUGCGUCCUGCAAUAGCCCCCUUCCUAGUCUCCUGCCUCCAGUUUGUGCCCCUACCCCCUAACCUACAUAUCUCAGCCCGCUUAGUCUGCCUACAGGACUUCUUUAGCCAUGUCACCCUUCUGUCCCCACACCUUCCUUGGCCCUUGUGACCUACAGGAUAAACUCUGUCUGGCUUUGAAACCCUCGAUCCCACCCAACUCCUCACCACCCACCUUUUCUGCUCUGUUCUAUGGGAAUCCUGUUCCCGACCAAUGACUCAUCGCAUUUCCAGAUCUUUCCAUUCUUUUCUAAGCUCAAUUCAAUCAAGCCUAAAACCAUUUUAAAUAGCUCUUCGCUUCCUCUGAAGUCCUAUAGCGUAUGUCUUAAUCACUCAUUUAUGUGAAAGCAAAAUUUUGUUGCUAAGGCACACAAGGUAGACUUUGGCCAGGCAGUAUUUUUAUUUAUACAAGGGCUCAGCGUGUACACAGAUAUCUUUAUACCCCUGCAACCCUCUCCAUUUCCUUUGUGUACAUUCGGGUUAGUGGAGGUAGUGAACAGCUGUUGUUUUCACCUGUCCAACAUCUCUUCCUCAUCUUUUGCCCCAUCACCUUUCUGCCCCUCUUUUAUAUAGUUUGGGUGGGGCUGGCCAUCCCUCUCCACGGCCCGGGCACAUGAUCCGGUCUGGUCAAGAUUACAGUAUUCUAGUCCCUUGCCCACAGUGAUUGGUUCUGGGGUGAGCAAGGGCCCUAAGUCAGCCCAAUGAGAGUCAGCCUUGGAAUUUAGCUGGAAGCACUGGGAAAGAGGCACUCCAUGGUCAUCGUCCUUGCUGCCAAGAAGGAAGCUAACACAGAGGAAAACAGUCAAGAGAAGAAGAGAAGGAUGGCCCUGCUGUCAUCGCCAAGCCUCCCAUCCGUCUACGCUGAAAGCCAAGUUCACCCCUGCACUUCCCAAUUGUGGGAGCAAAUAAAUCAUCUUGUGCUUAAGCCCGU